AUUGAACGCUGGCGGUAUGCUUUACACAUGCAAGUCGAACGGCAGCACGGGGGCAACCCUGGUGGCGAGUGGCGAACGGGUGAGUAAUACAUCGGAACGUGCCCGGUCGUGGGGGAUAACGUAGCGACAGUUACGCUAAUACCGCAUACGCUCUGAGGAUGAACGCGGGGGACCUUCGGGCCUCGCGCGAUCGGACCGUCCGAUGUCAGAUUAGGUAGUUGGUGGGGUAAAGGCCUACCAAGCCGACGAUCUGUAGCUGGUCUGAGAGGACGACCAGCCACACUGGGACUGAGACACGGCCCAGACUCCUACGGGAGGCAGCAGUGGGGAAUAUUGGACAAUGGGCGCAAGCCUGAUCCAGCCAUACCGCGUGCAGGACGAAGGCCUUCGGGUUGUAAAGUGCUUUUGUAUGGAACGAAAAGGAUCUGGCUAAUACCUGGGGGUCAUGACGGUACCGUAAGAAUAAGCACCGGCUAACUACGUG
rnacentral:rRNA from 1 species